rnacentral:rRNA from 1 species
GAUGAACGCUGGCGGCGUGCUUAACACAUGCAAGUCGAACGGUGAAGCAGGAGCUUGCUCCUGUGGAUCAGUGGCGAACGGGCGAGUAACACGUGAGUAACCUGCCCCAGACUCUGGGAUAAGCGUUGGAAACGACGUCUAAUACCGGAUACGAGACGAGAAGGCAUCUUCGUCGUCUGGAAAGAAUUUCGGUCUGGGAUGGACUCGCGGCCUAUCAGGUAGUUGGUGAGGUAACGGCCCACCAAGCCUACGACGGGUAGCCGGCCUGAGAGGGUGACCGGCCACACUGGGACUGAGACACGGCCCAGACUCCUACGGGAGGCAGCAGUGGGGAAUCUUGCGCAAUGCACGAAAGUGUGACGCAGCAACGCCGCGUGAGGGAAGACGGCCUUCGGGCUGUAAACCUCUUUCAGUUGGGACGAAGCCUCGCCGGUGAAUAGCCGGCUGAGGUGACGGUACCUUCAGAAGAAGCCCCGGCUAACUAC